rnacentral:rRNA from 1 species
GAUGAACGCUAGCGACAGGCUUAACACAUGCAAGUCGAGGGGCAGCACGGGAGUAGCAAUGCAACUGGUGGCGACCGGCGCACGGGUGAGUAACGCGUAUGCAACCUACCUAUCAGAGGGGAAUAACCCGGCGAAAGUCGGACUAAUACCGCAUAAAACAGGGGCACCGCAUGGUGCUACUUGUUAAAGAAAUUCGCUGAUAGAUGGGCAUGCGUUCCAUUAGGUAGUUGGUGAGGUAACGGCUCACCAAGCCGACGAUGGAUAGGGGAACUGCGAGGUUGGUCCCCCACACUUGUACUGAGACACGGACCAGACUCCCACGGGAGGCAGCAGUGAGGAAUAUUGGUCAAUGGGCGAGAGCCUGAACCAGCCAAGUCGCGUGAAGGAAGAAGGAUCUAUGGUUCGUAAACUUCUUUUGCAGGGGAAUAAAGUGCAGGACGUGUCCUGUUUUGUAUGUACCCUGAGAAUAAGGAUCGGCUAACUCCGUGCCAGCCGCCGCGGUAA